rnacentral:rRNA from 1 species
AUGACGCUCAUCAGCUGGAACUAUCGAGGAAUUGGGCAGCCUCGCACAGUUCGUGAGCUAGUGGGCCUUGUGCACACAUAUAAGCCUAAGUUAGUUUUUCUGUCAGAAACUCGGAAAAGCGAUGAGUACGUGAAUAAUCUUAGAUGGAGGCUGGGCCUUCGGCAUUGUAUUGUGCAGCCCGGCAUCGGCAAGAGUGCCGGGAUUGUGCUGUUUUAUGAGGAGGGUGUGGAAAUAAAGGAAAUCGCUGUUGGACCGAGGUCUAUCGAUGUGUUAAUUCGGUUAAGUCCCAAUGCUAUGCAAUGGAGGGGUACAUUCGUAUAUGGAGAACCUAAAUCACAUGAACGACAUCACAUGUGGGAACUCCUGAGAAGGAUUAGGAACAAUUCUUCUGAACCGUGGCUCAUGAUAGGUGAUUUUAACGAAACCAUGUGGCAGAGCGAACACUUCUCGUGA